GGACAAUUAACGCUUAACUUUUCUGUUUUUGUUUUGUACACAUAAAAAAAAAAAUGUAUGUAUAUAAAAUUGUACGCACUUAAGCGUUUCGUUCACUCCCGUCCUAUCGUAUACAGUACAUAAGAAAAUGCCAGUCCCGCAAAAAGUUACGGGCAACAAAUUACCGAACAAGUGUCGACGUUGCAGUUCGAGAAAGUGAUCUCGCCAGUAGCUGUAAACGGAAACUCGAACAGACCAUGUACUUGGUCGAACGGUGUACUUGCACCGUAAACCCUUUUUGUAUGUAUUAUUCGAAACGACGUGCAACGAACUUAAAUCGAGUACAAGACUUCUCGCAGAGUCACGAACCGCGUUCAACACCAAGUAGGUACAGAAGAAAUGAAUGGCAAGAGCUAAUCUGAUUUUUCCAUGGACGGCCACGUGUUUCCAUUCGAAGCGGAUGCGUUUUCAAACAACUCGACCGACGGUUUGAUUGCAAACAAACAAAAAAAAUCUGUCAAGACUCGAGAUACUUGCGUGCAAUAUUUUCAAGUACAGUUAUUUUGAUUUGGUUCAGCGUCGACUCGUCAAGUAUUAACGGCCGCUGAAACGAUGCAUAGAUACAAUAAUAAUAUGAUUUUAAUACAACGUUUUUGAUUUGACACAUUUGAAGUUAUAACUCAAAAAAGUCGUCGCCUGCUGGAAAACAUAACCUAACCGGAUUAGAGACAUUAGAACUAUCUCCGAGUUCAAAUAAACUAGUUUUAUGUGCGUGUGUGUUUUUUUUCUCAAAAUUAUUGACUUUUGAACCCACUGCUAUUUUCGCACCAAUGCUCUAAGGUGUAUUGAGAGACAACCCGCAGAGUAUUCUACAAUCAACCGACCAAGUUUUGUUUGUCGUUGUUCUUCUUAUUAUUAUUACCUAGUUGGAAAAUGGAACGAAUCCACCUGGCCGUGUAUAAUGAAAGUCUCCUGUGUAGUAAAAUUCAAUUUAUUGUUGUUGUUAUUAUUAUUACUAAUAUCGCCUGUGUAUAUUCGUUGCAUAUAUUCUUCCUUCGCAAGCUUUAAUAAUAAUACAGUGCACGAAGGGCAGAGAGAUGGCGGCGGUGGUGGAUAUAUUUUGCUAAACAGGAGAUUACGCCGUUAUUACAGGAUUGCAUGUCAAUAUUUUAUUACCUAGGCAGCGCCUUCACUUUAUAGUUGUUGUUGUUUUUUUUUUUAUUAUUAUUAAAAAAAUACAAAAAACAAUCCUCGUUGUCAGUUAAACUAGAACGCCAUUGUCGGCAUUUUAGGCCUUAACAUACUUAUCGAAACGAGGAAGAAUUUGUUAUUUAUGUGUGAAAUUCAAAAAUUACUAAAAAAAAAAAAAAUACUACUUAGAAACAAAUCCCAUCAUUUCUAACGGGAAAAGGGCUAAAUAACAAUUAUUAUGGUUGUGGUCUGUCGUUUGGCAAAAGCAUAUCAUCUAAAAGCAUCCAAUAUAACAGAUAACAAACUCUAACACUGGAACAUUUUCUCAUACUAAACAAAGAGAUAACGCACAGUACAGGAGGAGCCAAGUGUAUCAGCCCCCCCCUUACUUUUUUUAAAUAAAAUGCGAUAUUUAUUAUUUAGCCAUACACCCUUAACCCACACUCCGGUCGUUGAAGCUGCUCGCAAAAUUUAAAACUCUUGGCGAAAUCUGUAUGUUAAUGCUUAUGCUAAUUGAUAAAGAUUUAGCUUCUCCUUAUAUCUUAUAUUUUAUUUCUAAACCCGCGACUGACUUUUAUUGAACGUAACCGUCUAUCUCGUGAGUGUGUGUGUGGUACAUAUUGAAAACAAUUUUUUCCAAGUUGCUCGCCUACAACGCAAGCGUCGAUUAUAUAUAAUUAUGUACAAGGUUUGGUUCGAAUACAAAUACAAGAGCCACGUUAUGGUACAAUAUUGACGGCGAAAGGGUUGACGGGGUGGUACGACCGGGGGGUGAGAAGGAGAAGGGGGGGGGCAGUAUUUUUAUUGGCUGUGUGUUCUACUAAUACACCUAUACAAAAUCGGUAUAUACCGCGCGCACAGAGGUAACAGCGCAGGACUCAUCGUCCCCCCCCUUUGUCGUGCACUUAAAAAAAAA